rnacentral:lncRNA from 1 species
AAUAAAAUCUCUACUGCGUUUGGUUGGAGAACUAAGUUUUGUAGAACAACUUUUGUUGUUUUCGAAAAUGUUGGAUAUUUCGGUACAAGAUAGAACAAUUGUAAAUUUGUGUUUGGAUGCAUUCGGAAAUAUUCUAGAGGAUAUUCUUAUUAGCAGUUUGAAUAAAAAGUCUAGAAGAAUGUCUAAAUAUAUUUUUAAAAAUAAAAUAAUUAAUUUAUAUUAGUAUAUUUUAUAUAAAAUUAUUCCUGCGUACAGUAAUUUAUAAUAUAAUAUUUUAUGUAAUAAUUUAAUUUAAAAUAGUAUAUUUAUUUGAUUAUAUAUAAUAAUUUAUUUUAUGUAAUAAUUUAUUUUAUAUAAUUUAUUUAUAAUAUAUGUAAUGAAUAAAGUAUAAUACUAACAAUAUCCUUAUAAUUUUAAUUAAUAAUNUUAAUACUUAAUAUAAAAUAAAAUAAUAAAAUAUUAGAAUAUAAAUGAUAAAACUUAAUAAAAUAAAUAAUAUAUCAAAUUUAAUUAAUUUAUAUUAUAUUAAAAAAUUUAAGUAUAAAUAUAUUAUCAUUAAAAUAAUAUUUAUAUUAAUAUAUUUAUUUAUAUAUCUAUUUAUCAAAUAAAAUAAAGAGAAGAACAAAAUUGUUCUCAGUUCCCCUAGAAGUAAUUUUUAACGGGUUGUUUCAGAACAAUCUAGAACAACCCGCUAUAAUCAGAACAACACGUUCCCCCUAAUUAUGCUGGUGUUCGGCUAUAAAUUGGGAGAUAUUCUCUUCUGUUUCGGAAUAUCUCUCAUGCCA